GGGGAUUUAGCUAAGUGGUAGAGCGCUUGCCUAGCAAGCACAAGGCCCUGGGUUCGGUCCCCAGCUCCG
rfam:Rattus norvegicus chromosome 1, whole genome shotgun sequence.